GACGAUGUGUUGGAGUCGGGGGCGGCGGGGAUGGGAAACUCCGGCCGAGGCAGCGGCCAAGUACAGGAGCGGGGUCUGGAGAGCGGCUCGAAGUCCGGGUCGAUCUCGACCAUCUGGUUUUGGGCUGCGUCAGCCAUGCUUCUGCAGGAUAGGACAGCGACCUUCUCUUAUUUUCAGGGCUCAUGGUUCCAGAAAGCCUCUGCGUGACGAACCAUAUACACACCCCUGCCCUGACUUUGUUUCGAGGCCCUUGAACCAAGUGCAUGAUUGGAUAUAGUCUGUAGAAGUGUGUGCUGCCAGGACAGUCAGCGAUCCAGAAGAAGGGGUGGAAAGCGGUGCAUAAUACAAAAAUUUAACCAUGUCUCCACAUCCUUGUCACCCAAGACAUCAUUGAUCUGUCAGCUGGAGCAUGUGGUAACAGCCUUGCAUCAUUCAUUUCUUGUGUCUAUCUAUCUAUCUAUAUGUGUGUAUAUAUAUAUCUAUCUAUCUAUAUGUGUUAUCCGCUUUGUUUCGGGAUUGGACAAAGGCACAAAUCUCAGGUGAGGUACCAUUAAAGUAAACUCCCAGAAAUACAAUAUGUCAUUGUACUAUUUAACCAGAGGCAGACAUAG